rnacentral:lncRNA from 1 species
UAUGGGUUUUAUCUCUUCGGGCGGAUCAACUAGUGUCCAGACACUAUGGAUCUCCAUGGACUCCAUCUCAGACUUCAUGGCCUCAAGCUAUUUUUAAGAGUCAGACCUUUGCAUGGCUUCCAUAUAGGUGAUCGGAUCCUCAUCGUUCUCAUCAAGUUCAAUAGGAUUACCGUCCUGGAUCAAAAAAUCAUAGUAUCUGUCCGAUUGACGUGGUACUCUAUC